rnacentral:rRNA from 1 species
AUUGAACGCUGGCGGCAGGCCUAACACAUGCAAGUCGAGCGGAUGAAGGGAGCUUGCUCCUGGAUUCAGCGGCGGACGGGUGAGUAAUGCCUAGGAAUCUGCCUGGUAGUGGGGUAUAACGUCCGGAAACGGGCGCUAAUACCGCAUACGUCCUGAGGGAGAAAGUGGGGGAUCUUCGGACCUCACGCUAUCAGAUGUGCCUAGGUCGGAUUAGCUAGUUGGUGGGGUAAAGGCCUACCAAGGCGACGAUCCGUAACUGGUCUGAGAGGAUGAUCAGUCACACUGGAACUGAGACACGGUCCAGACUCCUACGGGAGGCAGCAGUGGGGAAUAUUGGACAAUGGGCGAAAGCCUGAUCCAGCAAUGCCGCGUGUGUGAAGAAGGUCUUCGGAUUGUAAAGCACUUUAAGUUGGGAGGAAGGGCAGUAAGUUAAUACCUUGCUGUUUUGACGUUACCAACAGAAUAAGCACCGGCUAACUUCGUG